rnacentral:lncRNA from 1 species
UACAUUUGUACAUAUCAUGUAUAUCAUUUCAUAAUAAGGAAAGAUCUAUGUUUUGCUGAUUAAUACAUAUUAGGUCUGAAUCUGUCUAGUUUUAUUAUAUGGAUUGGGCAAAGGAUUCAUGUGGUAAUUUUCUUGUAUCCCUGUUUCCAAAUAUUACAUUAACUAUUAAAAGUAGAUUGAAACAAAAAUUCAUAUUAGCCUAUAUAUUUAACUUUGUUUUGUAUGACUUUCCAUGUUACAAAAUCAUUCUUUUACUGAAAAGAUAACUGUCCAUAGUAAUUACACUAAACAAGAAACUUAAAAAGAUGUUACAAAGCACAAUUUAGUUGAUAAAGUAUUUUAUUUUUUUACUCGAGACAGAAAUUGUUGUAUUUUUUAAACAGAAAUAUUUUUAAGAUAGUUUCCGUAUUUUUAUUAUCAUCAACAUGUGAUUUGUUGGUGAUAUUUUAUUGUUAUUGAUAUUGUUGAAAUCCAUGAAUCGAUUGUUUGUACAGUUAUCUCAUUCAAAAUAAAUAGAUACAAACAUUUA